UGUCAGCGCGAAAAUGGCAGUGAUGUGUGUGAGUGACGUCAGCGAGUGAGUGGACGAGCGAGGAGAGCGAGCAGUAGCGUGCGUGUCCAGUGAAGAAGCGAACGAGUCCGGUAGAAUAAAGUACCCAUCAUGUCAAUAAUCGGUGGCCACUUCAUUCCGACCUAUAAGCAGACAAACUGCCGGUCAAAUCACACAAAAUAGGGACAGGGAUCAAACAGACAAUUUUUUUCACACUUGGCCCACUCUGGAUAAAUGUCGUUCAUGUCGCAUACGAGGACUUCGACGGCUGUAGAGAAAUGCAAUCCUCCGUAGCCACGGAGAGCUGUCAUCACAGAGGGCAUCUCGUUGCAUACUUACGGCAUCGAUAAGAGGGGACGGUGUCAGCAGACUAUUAUUUAGACAAAUUAUUAGUAAAUUUCAAUCUGACAAUUUGACCGGAGAGUUAGAAAGGGCGUAUCGCGCUUCUGCCUUCUCACACCGCAAGACAGGUUUGUGGCUUUGAUGCUCGCGAUUCUGGUUUCGAUACCCGUAUCGUUACAGCCCUACACGACAUACAUUGACUUAAGUAGAGAAGUUAAAGCUUGCUCAGCAUCAAGGUUCGUCAUCCAUCUGUGCCGGCAUAUGACAGUAGGCAUCUGUCACCAGUCACAGAGUAGGACGCAAAUUACACCAUCACAGCAAGCUUAAGAUACCCAAACCAGCUACAGCCUACAUUUCUACAGCACAAGAAAAGCCUUUUCAUUCUACACAAUCCACUAUUUAGAACUAACUCCCAAAAUAUUACCAUCAUGCGUAAAUUGCCAUCGCGUCGUCAGAAUCCUCAUCUCUGCAGGAGGUUACGCGUCUUGGAGGUCCUAAGAUUGAUUCUAUGGACUGGGGUCAGACUCCCAUCUGGGUGUCCAGGUAGAGAUGGUUCAUCAUGACACCUGAGGCAGAAAAGUACACUAAUGAAAUACAGGCCACUGAAUCGUAUUUGGUUAAACCACACGACAUACAUUGACUUAAGUAGAGAAGUUAAAGCUUGCUCAGCAUCAAGGUUCGUCAUCCAUCUAUGCCGGCAUAUGACAGUAGGCAUCUGUCACCAGUCACAGAGUAGGACGCAAAUUACACCAUCACAGCAAGUUUAAGAUACCCAAACCAGCUACAGCCUACAUUUCUACAGCACAAGAAAAGCUUUUUCAUUCUAUACAAUCCACCAUUUAGAUUAGAACUAACUCCCAAAAUAUUACCAUCAUGCGUAAAUUGCCAUUGCUUCGUCAGGAUCCUCAUCUCUGCAGGAGGUUACGUGUCUUGGAGGUCCUAUGGUAAAGACAUGGCCAAGUCAGUAAACUGGUCUCACAUGGUCCAACAAAGUACAUAAAAAGAACGUUCUCAGAACUUCUGUUAUUCUCACAAAG
ensembl:lncRNA